GAUUGGUUCUGGUAUCAUUUUAUAAUGACCCAUUUCCUCUAAUAUGGAUGUCGGUCAUUAGAUUUAAUCAGAAAAAUUGACCUACUUGGUUUUGGUCAUUGAAGAUGUGUGGUGUCUCCCACACCAGAUCCAUUCUAAGUUUACGGACAAACUUGGCUUCCAGAUUGCCUAGAUACCUCGUCACACAUGUCUGCCACUUGACCACAUUCUCAUGGAACCUUAUAAACAAAAAUGUAAAAUCUACCAGUUGGUGGGUGAUGGGAGUGCUUUCCUUCUUAAUUAUAUGUAUCAUUCUCUCUUGCUUGGCUUCAUCAGCCCUCCUCUCUUCUCUCUAUAAAUCUGCCGACCCUGCCCAGUUGUUAUUCCCCCCCUUUCUCUUCUUCUCAGCCUUGGAGAUUGAAAACAACUCCAAAAGAAAUAGUUAAGUAAUAGGUACCCAGAACAGUUAGUGGUGUUGCAUGUGCUCUGGAAUCAGUGUGGUUGCUUUAUAUGAUAAAAACUGCACAACCCACCGCCCAUUACAAUCCGACUUCUACGUAUAAAAGCUGCCUCCUCUCUUUUCUCAGGCCUCUCCCUCAUUUUUCACUGAAUCCUUCUCAGUUUGAGAGAAUAAUCAAUGGGUGAAGAAGCUAAGGAACAAGCUCCAGCUGAAGUUAAACCAGAGGCAGAGGAGAAGGAGGAAAAAGCAGAGGAGAAGAAAGAAGAAAAACCAGAAGAGCAGAAGGAGGAACCUAAGCCACCAUUACCAUUUGUCUUGUUUGUAGAUUUGCAUUGUGUGGGAUGUGCCAAGAAGAUAGAGAGGUCCCUCAUGAAAA